rnacentral:piRNA from 1 species
UUUUUAGGAGAAGAAGGAACUGGCUUGGG